GCAUCGCCCGCUACCGGCUGCUGGUGGAGCUGGUGCAGAAGAGGAGACAGGCGAAGAGCUGAGCGCCGGCGCACCGUGCUCCCGCGGGAACGCUUGGAGACUCCUACGCGGAGUCUCGCACUUUGUACCUCAGUAUUUCCGCGCGCCCUGUGCCUUAGUAAAGGAAUAAACCCGAGAGAGCUGCUGACGGGAGGCGGGGCCCGGCGGCUCGGUUCUGCGCCUCUGGCACGAGUGAGGCGGGGAGGGGACACGGGCGCCCCACCGCCAGUCCUCAGGAGCCCCCAGAGCCCCGCGAGGGCUUCUGAAGCAAACACUGGCCGAGGUCUGCGUCCGUGGAGGUGGAGGUGGAGGUGAGCGCUGUGGCCCGGUCUGAAGCUUUGGGGACAUCCCCUCCCGGAGCCUCCUUGCCUCGGCCAACGACAGUUCUGGCUUCUGUCUUUCCUUUUUGUGACAAAAAACGUAAAACUAUGUAGCCCAGGCUAGCUUGGUAGCCCAGGCCGGUCUUCGGCUCUGGGGAUCCUCCUGCCUCAGCCUCUCAGCCUCCCAAGGCUGCUCUUGGCGGAGCUACUCAAGCCUGCGGCAUUGGGUUUUAUUUAAACUGUAAAACCAGGCCGUUUCCUGGCCUCCAGAACAAAGCAUGGCUUAGGAAGGACACAGGAACCACUGUGGAAAAAGGCCAACCCCCAGCGCGCUCCGCUACAGCCCCAGGCUGGAAGGCCGGCGCAGCUGUUUUCCCAAACCCUUCCAGGGCGGGAAUGAGGCCCGAGCUAGGGGGUGUGGCCUGUCACGGAGAUACCGGGCGGGCGCGGGUGGGCGGCUCUGCACUUGGGACCAAUCAGGGGGCGCAGUCUUCGGUUCUGGCGUGAGAUCAAGCAGGUUUGCGAUUGGACAGCCUCACUCUGACGUCAGCUACAGACGGGGACGCACGAGGCUGCGGCCAUUUCCUCCCUGGCUCCAGCUGUCCUUUCCCUCCCUCCGGUGAAGUGUGACACCUCGCAGCCCUCUCUGCCUGUUUUGCCCGAUUCUUUGUUCAGGGCUCCGAGAGCAUGGAAGAAUCUGAAAAGGGCCUACAGCACCCCAGAACCCAGCCAGGAUCACAGUCCACUGAGUGUGUACAGCGAUGAAGGGAGGUGCCGUCACCACCAGAGUCCCAAACAGCAAGCAGACUUCUGGAUCACCAUUCUCCAUCGUGCUGCUUCACUACAGG